UGAGGAAUAUUGGUCAAUGGGCGAGAGCCUGAACCAGCCAAGUAGCGUGCAGGAUGACGGCCCUAUGGGUUGUAAACUGCUUUUAUGUGGGGAUAAAGUGCGUGACGUGUCAUGCAUUGCAGGUACCACAUGAAUAAGGACCGGCUAAUUCCGUGCCAGCAGCCGCGGUAAUACGGAAGGUCCGGGCGUUAUCCGGAUUUAUUGGGUUUAAAGGGAGCGUAGGCUGUCUAUUAAGCGUGUUGUGAAAUUUACUGGCUCAACCGGUGGCUUGCAGCGCGAACUGGUCGACUUGAGUAUGCAGGAAGUAGGCGGAAUUCAUGGUGAAGCGGUGAAAUGCUUAGAUAUCAUGACGAACUCCGAUUGCGCAGGCAGCUUACUGUAGCAUAACUGACGCUGAUGCUCGAAAGUGCGGGUAUCAAACAGG
rnacentral:rRNA from 1 species